rnacentral:rRNA from 1 species
GUCCACGCCCUAAACGAUGUCAACUAGGUGUUGGGAGGGUUAAACCUCUUAGUGCCGUAGCUAACGCGUGAAGUUGACCGCCUGGGGAGUACGGCCGCAAGGCUAAAAACUCAAAGGAAUUGACGGGGACCCGCACAAGCGGUGGAUGAUGUGGAUUAAUUCGAUGCAACGCGAAAAACCUUACCUACCCUUGACAUGUCAGGAAUCCCGGAGAGAUUUGGGAGUGCUCGAAAGAGAACCUGAACACAGGUGCUGCAUGGCUGUCGU